AGCUUAAUAGGUUAAUUUGGACUGUUUACUUUCAAAGUAAGAGGUGAUGUAAGUGCUUUGCGUCUUAGGCUG
rnacentral:tRNA from 1 species